rnacentral:rRNA from 1 species
CCUACGGGAGGCAGCAGUGGGGAAUAUUGCGCAAUGGGCGAAAGCCUGACGCCGCGACGCCGCGUGAGGGAUGAAGGUCUUCGGAUCGUAAACCUCUGUCAGCAGGGAAGAACGGGCACUGUGCUAAUCAGCAGUGAAUUGACGGUACCUGCAAAGGCAGCACCGGCUAACUCCGUGCCAGCAGCCGCGGUCAUACGUAGGGUGCGAGCGUUAAUCGGAAUUACUGGACGUAAAGCGCUCGUAGGCGGUAUGUCAAGUCAAGGGUGAAAUCCCCGCGCUCAACGUGGGAACUGCCUUUGAAACUGGCAGACUGGAGUGUGUGAGAGGAUAGUGGAAUGCCAGGUGUAGGGGUGAAAUGCGUAGAUAUCUGGAGGAACAUCAGUGGCGAAGGCGACCAUCUGGCACAUAACUGACGCUGAGGAGCGAAAGCGUGGGUAGCAAACAGGAUUAGAUACCCGGGUAGUC